rnacentral:lncRNA from 1 species
AAACAAGUGAUGAACACUACUAACUCUGACCCUUUGCCAUUUCCCUCUUCAUUCACGUUUUUCCACAGAUAAAUUUAAGAGAAGUUGAAAUCAAGAUAAAUUUAAUGUUCUCCAUGGAGAAAUUCAAGUGCAGGAAUACAUUACUUUGUACUUAUUACUUCUAUUCUCGUUUUAUAUACAUUAUUUACAGGUGCACUGUAACAAAUCUUUGUCAUUAAAACACUGUCUGUAAAAAGCAGAAUAAAACUAUUUCUUCUUUUUUUGCAGUUUUCCAAUAUAUUCAUCUGUCACCAGAGCUCCAUGGGAAGUUCUCUGCUGUUCCUUCAUCUGACCGGUAGUGUGACAGAAAGGCCUGGAGCUGGUCAGGGCCAACCCCCGGCCUGAGUGCUAGAUUGUCGAUAAAUGCAGUAAACAACAGGCUGCUUUCUUUCAGAACAAGUUAUAUGAAGUCGUCAUCCAUUUGGCGUCUGGUUUUGAAGGUUGUAGAUGCAUGAAAGAAGGUAGAGGAAGAAGGUUGCUGAUUACCGGUUUUCUUCUGUCAACAGGCCUUUCAUGUUACACCCCACACACUGCAGAGCUGCUGGAAGGGCCCAGAACAGAACCUGCGCGAGCAGCUGAAGGCCAUGAGAGCCCUCCCAGGCUCUGUCUCCCAGUUUAUGGUCAUCUGAAAUCUGGUUUGCGUUCCCUGAGACUGCUCCUCAGUGUGAACCGUGGUGCAGAAAGGAGGACAACAGUCUUCCCUCUGUACUUCAAAGAUUUGUCCCCUCUUCAAGCUGUAGCAUAA